CUGGUUGAUCCUGCCAGACCCGACUGCUAUCGGAUUGGGACUAAGCCAUGCGAGUCAACUCCGCAAGGGGUGGCGCACGGCUCAGUAACACGUAGUCAACCUACCCUGGGGACGGGGAUAACCUCGGGAAACUGAGGCUAAACCCCGAUGGGCCAUGGCUCCUGGAACGGGCUAUGGCUGAAAUCUACAUGGCCCCAGGAUGGGACUGCGGCCGAUCAGGUUGUUGGUGGGGUAAUGGCCCACCAAGCCUAUAACCGGUGCGGGCUCUGAGAGGAGGAGCCCGGAGAUGGGCACUGAGACAAGGGCCCAGGUCCUAUGGGGCGCAGCAGGCGCGAAACCUCCGCAAUGGGCGAAAGCCCGACGGGGUCAGUCCGAGUGGUUCCCGCUGAGGGAACCUUUUGCCAGCUGUAAACAGGCUGGCGAAUAAGGGGUGGGCAAGUUUGGUGUCAGCCGCCGCGGUAAUACCAGCACCCCGAGUGGUCGGGACGAUUAUUGGGCCUAAAGCAUCCGUAGCCGGCCCAGUAAGUCCUCCGUUAAAUCCAACGGCUCAACCGUUGGGCUGCGGGGGAUACUGCUGGGCUAGGGGACGGGAGAGGCGAGGGGUAUUCCCGGGGUAGGGGUAAAAUCCACUGAUCCCGGGAGGACCACCAGUGGCGAAGGCGCCUCGCUAGAACGUGCCCGACGGUGAGGGAUGAAAGCUGGGGGAGCGAACCGGAUUAGAUACCCGGGUAGUCCCAGCCGUAAACGAUGUAGGCUCGGUGUUGGGCUGCCUCAGUGGCAGCCCAGUGCCGCAGGGAAGCCGUUAAGCCUACCGCCUGGGGAGUACGGCCGCAAGGCUGAAACUUAAAGGAAUUGGCGGGGGAGCACCAC
rnacentral:rRNA from 1 species